rnacentral:rRNA from 1 species
UGAAUUGACGGGGGCCCGCACAAGCGGUGGAGCAUGUGGUUUAAUUCGAUGCAACGCGAAGAACCUUACCUACUCUUGACAUCCAGAGAACUUAGCAGAGAUGCUUUGGUGCCUUCGGGAACUCUGAGACAGGUGCUGCAUGGCUGUCGUCAGCUCGUGUUGUGAAAUGUUGGGUUAAGUCCCGCAACGAGCGCAACCCUUAUCCUUUGUUGCCAGCGGUUCGGCCGGGAACUCAAAGGAGACUGCCAGUGAUAAACUGGAGGAAGGUGGGGAUGACGUCAAGUCAUCAUGGCCCUUACGAGUAGGGCUACACACGUGCUACAAUGGCAUAUACAAAGAGAAGCGACCUCGCGAGAGCAAGCGGACCUCACAAAGUAUGUCGUAGUCCGGAUCGGAGUCUGCAACUCGACUCCGUGAAGUCGGAAUCGCUAGUAAUCGUAGAUCAGAAUGCUACGGUGAAUACGUUCCCGGGCCUUGUACAC